rnacentral:lncRNA from 10 species
CGCCUGCGCACCACGACACGCCCGGGCAGGGGUCUAAUGGGCGGGGACGCCGCGCCUGCGCAAAGCGGACCCGCGGACGGUGGCGCUGGGUGGCCACGGAGGUCCCGCGCUCCCCGACCGAGAUAGGGCGGGCCCUAUUUCGGGGAGAUGUUGGGCACCAACAUUUUUUAAAGCCCCGUGGGUGGUUCUCCGGGAUCUCCCAGACCGAGAGGGCCUGAACGUCCAGACCUCAGGGAAUGGGGUCGAAGGGGCGGCGCUCGUCCGCGGAGGUGGGCGGGAGCGGCCCGGGGCCUCCGGCCUCUAGAGAGCGGGAGUGACCCUCGGUUUCUGGCCUCCGAGGGGCGGGAGCGAUCCUCAGCCAUGUCCCUAGUGUCUGGCUUCCGGCUGAUUUUUAAAUUUUUGGUAGAGGCGGGAUCUUGCUCUGUUGCCCAGGCUGGUCUCGAACUUGUGGCCUCAAGCGAUCCUACCUCCUCGGCCUCCCCAAGUGCGGAGAUUACAGACAGAGCCACUGCGCACGGCCGUGGUCAGCUUUGAAAGCUGGGUAGAUCCCUUUGGCUCAUACGCCUUUCUGCUAGCUUACCCUGAUUCUGCUUCUGGUUCAGAUAGUAUUUUAAUAUUUCUAGUGUGUCUUUUUCUAAGAUAUCUGAAAUCUUUUUGUGGAAUGAAGUGGCAUGAAAAAUAAACCAAUAAUCAUUAAAGACAGUUAUAAACAAGAUGCAUUCAAUAGCAUGGUGGCAGAUGAACAUCAGGAAGGAACAUCCAUGAGCUUCCAUCCACGGAACCUCACCAUGGAUACGCUUGUGAUCAAGGGCCUGGUCUCCCCUCAAGACACGGUCACAGAUCAGAGGCCACACCAUCCUAGCAGUGGAGCAGGACCAGCUGGGACAGGGUCCUUCUGUGACACCUGCUGCAUCACCAGGCUGGGUGAACGGACACAAUUGCCAGAACUCACAGAAUAGAAGUAUCAGCACCGAAACCUCACAGGAAAAAUG